GCGUGUGUGAAGAAGGCCUUCGGGUUGUAAAGCACUUUUGUCCGGAAAGAAAUCCGUCUGGCUAAUACCCGGACGGGAUGACGGUACCGGAAGAAUAAGCACCGGCUAACUACGUGCCAGCAGCCGCGGUAAUACGUAGGGUGCGAGCGUUAAUCGGAAUUACUGGGCGUAAAGCGUGCGCAGGCGGCUCUGUAAGACAGAUGUGAAAUCCCCGGGCUUAACCUGGGAACUGCAUUUGUGACUGCAGGGCUAGAGUGCGUCAGAGGGAGGUGGAAUUCCGCGUGUAGCAGUGAAAUGCGU
rnacentral:rRNA from 1 species